rnacentral:rRNA from 1 species
AUUGAACGCUAGCGGAAUGCUUUACACAUGCAAGUCGAACGGCAGCACGGACUUCGGUCUGGUGGCGAGUGGCGAACGGGUGAGUAAUGCAUCGGAACGUGCCCAGUAGCGGGGGAUAACUACUCGAAAGAGUAGCUAAUACCGCAUACGUCCCAUGGGAGAAAGGGGGGGAUCGCAAGACCUCUCACUAUUGGAGCGGCCGAUGUCGGGUUAGCUAGUGGGUGGGGUAAAGGCCUACCAAGGCGACGAGCCGUAGCGGGUUUGAGAGGACGACCAGCCACACUGGGACUGAGACACGGCCCAGACUCCUACGGGAGGCAGCAGUGGGGAAUUUUGGACAAUGGGGGAAACCCUGAUCCAGCCAUUCCGCGUGUGUGAUGAAGGCCUUCGGGUUGUAAAGCACUUUUGUCAGGGAAGAAAAGUUCAGGGCUAAUAUCCCCGGACGAUGACGGUACCUGAAGAAUAAGCACCGGCUAACUACGUGCCAGCAGCCGCGGUAAGAC